UACUUUCAAAUUAAAUAUUAGAGGUAUUAAACGGCCAAAUUAAAAAUAGAUUACGGUUUUUUUUAGGGUUUUUUCCCUUUUUUUUU
rnacentral:sRNA from 1 species